GCCCUUUUCUCCCCCAAUGAACACAUCAUGUAAUUUUUAUGCAGUUUGUACUCAUAUUACGAAGACACUCUACAGAAAAACAAUUAUGCUGACAUACCUGAGUUCUCUUCCUUGACAUUUUACAGAAGCAUACCAUUUUUUUUUUUCAGGUUGCAAGUGACUUCAGAGACCACUGUGGCUCAUCCUUUAUGGUUACUUAGGAAGAGACGAUGGCACCAACAAUGUGUUCCUCUGUCUGAAAGACAUAAUUGCUUGAUGGAAGAAUAGUCUGUUCGACUCCUGGGUGUGAUGGAAGUGAUGCUGGCUGCAUAAGA
rnacentral:lncRNA from 1 species